CGUUUAGGGGUAAACCUGAGAAACCCGAAAGGUCGAAGGAAGAAAUUCAUUCGUGUUCAUUAGGAUUAUUGUGUGGUAUUGGUGUGUCGAAAGUUCUCUUUUGAAUUUUUGCCCUGCUAUACAAUAAAUGUAUUCUAUUGAACGCGUGCACUUUUCUUCUGGUAGGACGUCGCGAUCCGUUGAGUAUCGAUCUACGAUUUGAAUGGUAGACCGUUUUCAUUGAAUUCUUGUUAAUUCAAGUGAUUACGAACCUUCAUUUCUGAUCGAUUCGCUCGACGGUAUAAAUGUGAAAGGUUUUUGGCCGCUUUUAUAAAGCGUUCGGCUAUUGGCAAGCACGUUAAAUGUUUUAGCACACGGACCUGGUGCCGUGUCUGAUCCUUAACGACUGUUGGCCUUUAAUGUCUCGAACAGUGUCAAUUUAACCAAUCAGCGACGAUAUAGCUUUGGGUAAUUUCAGGACCCGUCUUGAAACACGGACCAAGGAGUCUAGCAUAUACGCAAGUCAUUGGGAUUUUCAAUAAACCUAAAGGCACAAUGAAAGUAAACGUUUUCCUUUAACGGUUAACGAUGGGAAGAUGGGCGUCUAAUUUUAAUUAAUUAACGUUCAGCAUUCCCGGGGCGUCUCACUCUCAUUUUUUUAAUGAGAAGAGGCGCACCAUGAGCGUAUAUGCUGGGACCCGAAAGAUGGUGAACUAUGCCUGGUCAGGACGAAGUCAGGGGAAACCCUGAUGGAGGUCCGUAGCGAUUCUGACGUGCAAAUCGAUCGUCGGAACUGGGUAUAGGGGCGAAAGACUAAUCGAACCAUC
rnacentral:rRNA from 1 species